UGCCAUCAGCGAUGACUAACCAUGGAAAAAAGCAGGGUGAUGUUCUCAAAUUCCAAUCACCUUGUCUGUCUGCUUCAACUGAUGUGAACAGCUCUACCAUUCCUCUCUCAAAGAAGAAAAGGUUGAAUCAUGCUACAUAACAAUCAUUCUCUCUUAAUUCUAAAUAAGAGAACAUGACAUCCUACGUGCAUAUUUAGUUGUUGCUGUUUUCAACCUUACCAAAUUUUGAUAUUGCCAAAGUUUGGUAAGGCAACAAACUAAACACACUUCAACCAUUACUAUCUUAUUAAAUUUUGGCAGCUCUAGAAGCUUCUUUUCUUAAAACUCUACUAGAAUUUGGUAAAGACAUCAAACUAAACAAAGCCAACGCUACCGAAAUGUAGUAAUGCCAAAGUGUGCCAAAAUUUAGCAUGGAAGAUGGUGUACCUAAUUUGUUAGUCUGAACUGAAAUUCUAUUAUCGUACAGUUAAUUCUUCUAGGCAUCAAUGUUUAUUUUUUGGAUGUUUGCAUCAUAACCUGAGUACGGGCAGUUCCUGAUAUAUGGGACAAGACUCAAAAUAUCAGGUAAAUCAUCCUCAUAACACAGGAUUAUUGGACACCUCUAGAUAUAAUAAGCAGCAAAUCUCAAGGACACAGCCUUGAAGCAGCUUCAUCUCAGUAUUUCACUACACUACUACAGGCAUCGUGGUCAUGGCUGCUAUUCCAACUUCAACAUCUCCAGUCUGUUCUUUCCAUCAAGCUGUUGUGUGAAGAAUUGUGUCAUGAAAUCAAGGUAACUAAUUGAUCUGUAAUUCACUUUACCAUCUUUCACAAAUUCCGUCAGAGGUCUGAUCACCAUAUUCUCACACGGAUAGUGGAACAGUGAUGCUGAAAUCCGCUCCUUAUUUGGGUUUAUCACGGCCCUGUGCUCAACACUUCUGAACUUUCCGUUACUUAGGAUCUGUACAUAUCAAUAGCACAUCACUCACAUCAGUACAAAGGUGCAAGAGAGGUAGGCCAUCCAACAACAAUUUUCAGAAGCUUUUAGGUACGUUCUUUCUUCUUUGGUGCUUCCACAAGUUCUUUUUUUUAGAUAAUGGAAGCUUUUAUUGAACUCAUCCAGUUACAUCAAAGUUCUUUGACAAGUGAAAGCAUAAUUAGUUCUUGGUCGGUACCUCAAGUGUGUCGCCAAUGUUAACGAUGAAUGCACCAUUCGGAGCGUCUACGGAUAACCACUUGCCAUCUUUCUUGAUCUGCAGGCCCUGCACGUCGUUAACCUGGAGCAGCAGUGUUAGGCCAACCACAUCAGAGUGCGGCGAAAUGCCCAUCACCUUGUCAGAUUGCAGGCACGGUGGGUAGUAGGUCAUCCUUAAGCCUCGAGGCUGCUCUUCAAAUAUGCCUAAAAGAGCCUCUGGCUUAGCGCCCACAGCCUUAGCCAUGAACUCAAACAAGCAGAGUGCCAGGCUUUUAGUCUCUGAUGAGUAUGCAUCAAGGGAUCGCCUAUUUCCAGACAUCUCCAGUUAAGAAGAGACAGAUGCCUAUCAAAAGCUAAAUUACACAUUUUAUUUGGGUAGAUCACCUGAAAGAUGCAGGGGAAGUCGGCCAGAACCUCAAGUCCCUUGAAUCGCUAGGAUGGACUUGAAGAUACAGCAUGUCUGCCCAGUCAAGUUUCUGGUCCUCGGAGAAAAC
rnacentral:lncRNA from 1 species